GGUCUGUGCUAAAACUUUCACAAUAGGAUUGGGAGGAAUACCAUGGAUCAUAAUGUCAGAGAUAUUUCCUAUAAAUGUUAAAGCUCAAGCUGGAAGCCUGGUGACUUUAGUCCACUGGUCAGCUGCUUGGAUCACUACUUACAGUUUCAAUUUUAUGAUGGACUGGAGCUCAGCAGGAACAUAUUUCGUUUUUGAAUCUCGGGCUUAGCUGUCGCAUUCGUCGCCAAGUUGGUUCGAGAGACAAAAGGGAGAACACCGGAGGACAUACAAGCUUCUAUCAC